GCUGAACGCUGGCGGCGUGCUUAACACAUGCAAGUCGAACGGAGCUUAAUCAGGAAGCUUGCUUUCAUUUUAAGCUUAGUGGCGGACGGGUGAGUAACGCGUGAGCAACCUGCCCUCGAGUGGGGAAUAACAUCGAGAAAUCGGUGCUAAUACCGCAUAAUAUCGGGAAUUCGCAUGUUUUCCCGAUCAAAGGAUUUAUUCGCUUGAGGAUGGGCUCGCGUCCGAUUAGCUAGUUGGUGAGGUAACGGCCCACCAAGGCAACGAUCGGUAGCCGAACUGAGAGGUUGAUCGGCCACAUUGGGACUGAGACACGGCCCAGACUCCUACGGGAGGCAGCAGUGGGGAAUAUUGGGCAAUGGGCGCAAGCCCUGACCAGCAACGCCGCGUGAAGGAUUGAAGUUCUUCGGAUUGUAAACUUCUUGCAUGGGGGAAGAAUAAAUGACCUACCCCAAGAACAAGCCACGGCUAACUACGUGCCAGCAGCCGCGGUAAUACGUAGGUGGCAAGCGUUAUCCGGAUUUACUGGGUGUAAAGGGCGUGUAGGCGGUUUCGCAAGUCAGAAGUGAAAUUCCCGGGCUUAACUCGGGCGCUGCUUCUGAAACUGCGGAACUUGAGUGCUGGAGGGGAUAGCGGAAUUCCUAGUGUAGCGGUAAAAUGCGCAGAUAUUAGGAGGAAACACCGGUGGCGAAGGCGGCUAUAUGGACAGUAACUGACGCUGAGGCGCGAAAGCGUGGGGAGCAAACA
rnacentral:rRNA from 1 species